UGAGAGCUUGCUCUCAAUAAGUUAGCGGCGGACGGGUGAGUAACACGUGGGUAACCUGCCCAUAAGACUGGGAUAACUCCGGGAAACCGGGGCUAAUACCGGAUAANAUUUUGAACCGCAUGGUUCGAAAUUGAAAGGCGGCUUCGGCUGUCACUUAUGGAUGGACCCGCGUCGCAUUAGCUAGUUGGUGAGGUAACGGCUCACCAAGGCAACGAUGCGUAGCCGACCUGAGAGGGUGAUCGGCCACACUGGGACUGAGACACGGCCCAGACUCCUACGGGAGGCAGCAGUAGGGAAUCUUCCGCAAUGGACGAAAGUCUGACGGAGCAACGCCGCGUGAGUGAUGAAGGCUUUCGGGUCGUAAAACUCUGUUGUUAGGGAAGAACAAGUGCUAGUUGAAUAAGCUGGCACCUUGACGGUACCUGACCAGAAAAGCCACGGCUAACUACGUGCCAGCAGCCGCGGUAUACGUAAGUGGCAAGCGUUAUCCCGAAUUAUUGGCGUAAAGCGCGCGCAGGGUGGUUUCUUAAGUCUGAUGUGAAAACCCACGGCUCAACCGUGGAGGGUCAUUGGGAAACUGGGAAACUUGAGUGCAGAAGAGGAAAAUGGAAUUCCUUGUUAAGCGGUGAAAUGCGU
rnacentral:rRNA from 1 species